UACGUAGGGGGCAAGCGUUGUCCGGAAUCAUUGGGCGUAAAGCGCGUGUAGGCGGCCAGAUAGGUCUGCUGUGAAAACUCGAGGCUCAACCUCGAGAUGUCGGCGGAAACCAUUUGGCUAGAGUCCGGAAGAGGAAAGUGGAAUUCCUGGUGUAGCGGUGAAAUGCGCAGAUAUCAGGAAGAACACCCGUGGCGAAGGCGGCUUUCUGGGACGGUACUGACGCUGAGACGCGAAAGCGUGGGGAGCGAACAGG
rnacentral:rRNA from 1 species